rnacentral:rRNA from 1 species
AGCGAACGCUGGCGGCAGGCCUAACACAUGCAAGUCGAACGAAGUCUUCGGACUUAGUGGCGGACGGGUGAGUAACACGUGGGAACGUGCCUUUAGGUUCGGAAUAACUCAGAGAAACUUGUGCUAAUACCGAAUGUGCCCUUCGGGGGAAAGAUUUAUCGCCUUUAGAGCGGCCCGCGUCUGAUUAGCUAGCUGGUGAGGUAAAGGCUCACCAAGGCGACGAUCAGUAGCUGGUCUGAGAGGAUGAUCAGCCACAUUGGGACUGAGACACGGCCCAAACUCCUACGGGAGGCAGCAGUGGGGAAUCUUGCGCAAUGGGCGAAAGCCUGACGCAGCCAUGCCGCGUGAAUGAUGAAGGUCUUAGGAUUGUAAAAUUCUUUCACCGGGGACGAUAAUGACGGUACCGGGAGAAUAAGCUCCGGCUAACUUCGUGCCAGCCGCCGCCGUAAGAC